rnacentral:rRNA from 1 species
GGAAUAUUGGGCAGUGGAGGAAACUCUGACCCAGCAAUGCCGCGUGAAUGAAGAAGGUCUUCGGAUUGUAAAGUUCUUUAGUCAGGGAAGAAGUCAAUGACGGUACCUGAAGAAUAAGCUCCGGCUAACUACGUGCCAGCAGCCGCGGUAAUACGUAGGGAGCAAGCGUUGUUCGGAAUGACUGAGCGUAAAGGGUGCGUAGGCGGUUGUACAAGUUAGAAGUGAAAUACCCAGGGCUUAACUCGGGUGCUGCUUCUAAAACUGUAUGACUUGAGUGCAGUAGAGGUUAGUGGAAUUCCUAGUGUAGCGGUGGAAUGCGUAGAUAUUAGGAAGAACACCAGAGGCGAAGGCGGCUAACUGGACUGCAACUGACGCUGAGGCACGAAAGUGUGGGGAGCAAAC